AGUGAACGCUGGCGGUAGGCCUAACACAUGCAAGUCGAACGGCAGCACAGUAAGAGCUUGCUCUUACGGGUGGCGAGUGGCGGACGGGUGAGGAAUACAUCGGAAUCUACUUUUUCGUGGGGGAUAACGUAGGGAAACUUACGCUAAUACCGCAUACGACCUACGGGUUAAAGCAGGAGAUCUUCGGACCUUUCGCGAUUGAAUGAGCCGAUGUCGGAUUAGCUAGUUGGCGGGGUAAAGGCCCACCAAGGCGACGAUCCGUAGCUGGUCUGAGAGGAUGAUCAGCCACACUGGAACUGAGACACGGUCCAGACUCCUACGGGAGGCAGCAGUGGGGAAUAUUGGACAAUGGGCGCAAGCCUGAUCCAGCCAUACCGCGUGGGUGAAGAAGGCCUUCGGGUUGUAAAGCCCUUUUGUUGGGAAAGAAAAGCAGCAGGUUAAUACCCCGCUGUUCUGACGGUACCCAAAGAAUAAGCACCGGCUAACUUCGUG
rnacentral:rRNA from 1 species